rnacentral:rRNA from 1 species
CCUACGGGUGGCAGCAGUGAGGAAUAUUGGUCAAUGGGCGUAAGCCUGAACCAGCCAAGUCGCGUGAGGGAUGAAGGUUCUAUGGAUCGUAAACCUCUUUUAUAAGGGAAUAAAGUGUGGGACGUGUCCUGUUUUGUAUGUACCUUAUGAAUAAGGAUCGGCUAACUCCGUGCCAGCAGCCGCGGUAAUACGGAGGAUCCGAGCGUUAUCCGGAUUUAUUGGGUUUAAAGGGUGCGUAGGCGGCCGUUUAAGUCAGCGGUGAAAGUCUGUGGCUCAACCAAAGAAGUGCCGUGGAAACUGGGAGGCUUGAGUAUGUGUGAGGCAGGCGGAAUGCGUGGUGUAGCGGUGAAAUGCUUAGAUAUCACGCAGAACCCCGAUUGCGAAGGCAGCCUGCCAGGCCAUGACUGACGCUGAGGCACGAAAGCGUGGGGAUCAAACAGGAUUAGAUACCCCGGUAGUC